rnacentral:lncRNA from 1 species
CAAAGUGCUGGGAUUACAGGCGUGAGCCACCGCGCCCGGCCUGCUGAUCCCUGUUUUAAGUCACUAAGAUUUGAGGUGAUUUGUUAAGCAGCAAUAGAUAAAUGGCACAGAACUGUUUUCCAAAAGGGAAUAUGUCCCAUUUUUUAUUAAAUGAAUUAAUUUUUAUGCUCAUAAAAAAAUACAAGCCGUACCCACCCUCCCCCCCGGCCGCCCCCCGCAGGGCCAAUAAUCCUUCUAUGGCUAAAAGAUUACGAUUCAGUUUGCAUCUCUAAAGUACAGUUAUGGAGACUGCUAGUUUUACACCACUAUCUGUUUCUUCCCUUUUUCCACAAUUGGAACUGGUCAUGCACCCACCCAGUCAGGGAAUACAUUUCUGAGCUUCUAUGUCAAUUAUGUGUGACCACAAGACUAGGUUUUCACUUCUAGAGUAUGAAUGGCAAUCAUGCAUGGAUUUCUUGGGCUUUCUCUAUGCUCUUCUUCCCCUCUCCACUACCUGGAAUCUAUAGCAAACUGACUUACAAUUCAGAGAAUUAGAAUGUCCUAGAGAAAGGAGGAGCACCAAUGAGAGGAACCUUGAUCACUUAAAACCUAUGUAGAGCAAGGACUUUCCCCAACUUAAAACACUAUAAUGUUGAAUCUUCCUUAAGCCACUGAAUUAUCAAUGGAUGUCAUUUUCAUAGCAGGCUACUCUUAUCCUAACUAAAGUAAUGGUUUUAUACAAUAUACUUUGGCAUCAGAAUGAUUUAGUUGGUAAAACAUUGGAUCUUGGGUCAAAAACUCUAGGGUACUUUGAUAAACUCUGCCCCAAUUUUCUGAGUUGGUCGGAGGCUUGUUACUUACAGUAACUGUGAUUUUAUUUUCCUAGAUAAAAAUAUACAACUCCAGGUAGGCGAAACAGGAAUUUCUAACACUGACCUUUCUAAUUCCUAAUUCUCCCAAGUAAGAGGGCUACAAUAACCGGUGAUUGCCCUAGGCAUGUGUCAUUUUAGUCCCAAGAAAUGCUUGUAUACCAACAUACUGCCUUAGGGUAAUGUAAUGGGAAAAUAAUCAAGGUGAGUUUUUGGCAUCUGGACAGCCACAGAUAGCUUUCCCAUGAAAGGGCAAAUAUACUCCAUUUUGAGACAAUUAGAACAAAAUUGGGGGAGACGAUUUUAGUUACAUUCUGUAUAUACAUUCAAUGAUGGCAGCCAGUAAGUCCUAAACUUCAGUGUGUAUGAAGGGAACUUGUUAAUCAUGCAAAUUUGAGGACUCUCCCACGUGCCCCAGAGAUCAUACUUCGGUGGAACUAGAGUUGACCCUAUAAUCUCAAGGUUAAAUAUUACUUUAAGUGAUUCUUUUUUUUUUUUUUUCUUUGAGAAGGAGUGUCUGUCACCCAGGCUGGAGUGCAGUGGCGCCAUCUCAGCUCACUGCAAUCUCUGCCUCCCGGGUUCAAGUGAUUCUCCUGCCUCAGCCUCCUGAGCAGCUGGGACUACAGGUGCUUGCCACCACGCCAGGCUAAUUUUUUGUGUUUUCAGUAGAGGCGGGGUUUCACUGUGUUAGCCAGGAUGGUCGUGAUCUCCUGCCCUCGUGAUCUGCCCGCCUCAGUCUCCGAAAGUGUUGGGAUUACAGGCAUGAGCCACCAUGCCUGGCCUAAGUGAUUCUUAGAUAGUGACCCUUCUUUGAGAAACCACAGCCACAGCAGAAAUUGAAUUCAGAUAUUAAGAUUCAGUUCAAGGAAAUGCAGAAAUCGAGAUAUGGCAGCAAAAUCCUGGUGCAAAAGACUUAACAGAGUUUCCAAAUGAGAAGCUUCUAGAUUUUAAAACGUUAUUUUAGGAAUGAUUUUAUUGAAAAAUAAAGAAGUUCAAAACAAAAUUGUGAAAAUGAAAUUGGCCUGUUUUGCCUGUGAACUCCCUACUCAGCCUUCAGUAUCCAAUUUAAAAGUAACUUCCUCUGGAAGUUGUAUUAGGUGUCACUGUUAUGUGCUCUCAUCAUACUCCAUAAUUUCUGGUUCAGAGCAAAUAGCACGUUGAGCUUAGUUAUCUAAUUGCCUACCUUCCCUGUUGAACUAAAUACUCUGUAAGGAAAGAAAUUGUGUCUUUCUUGCUCACCAAAAUAUCCCCAGAGCUUAUUAGGAUGCCAGGAAUACAAGAGGUGUUCAACAAAUAGUUGUCGAAGGAAUGAAUCUCUGAAUGGGAAAUAGCUAGCUGAUUUUACCAGCAUAGGAAAUGGACAUGAACAGUAACGAGACAAAGUGGAAACUGCCUAAAGGAUGUGCUUAUAUAAAGCAGAUGACUUAAGCAAUAUAGACCCAGAGAUGUAUUCAGAAAAUAAUACUGGGCCAUGUCCCCUUGUGGGCAUUUUACUUUGAAGGAAAGAAAAGUGGUAGAUUUUAGUGCAGGGACAAGGAUUGGAAGGUAAAGUCCUUAUUCAGACCAAUCUUCCUGCAGGGACUAUACGUAGCUUUGGGAAAGGGACUUUGAAACACUUUGAUUUUCUUUUCAGUAAUAUAAUUAUGGUACUUAUUCUUUUAUGUUAUUAAAUAUUCUUUUGGAUAACACUGAGGAAGGGGUGUUUGUGAGAAACAGCACUGGUAUUUAGAGUUCCCAGCUAUGAAGGAAAUGCUCUUCACAGGUAUUAGAGUACAACUGACUUGAAAAAAAAUUCAUCUCUCCGUGGUUAUAUUUCUACAAGAAGUUGUUUAAAUUUAAGUAAAAUAUUAAUAUAUGUUAUUUGUCUAACAGUGAAAGAGAAAAAAUCAAGAACAAUAAAACAUUAGAGAAGAAAAUAGAAAAAUCCUGUGAAAAAGGUCCAAAUGCAGGCUGCAAAGAGGGGAAGCCAGUCCUAGCAAACACCUAACCAACUAAAUGACCUGAAAAAAAAGUCUGUCAGCCUCUAUCUACCUGGAUCUCAUUAGUAAAAUUAGGAGGCAGGAUGAAAUAAUUUAUAAGGUUGCUAUUAGCUUUAAAAUUUUUAUGAGUUCAGAGCCUUUAAAAACAUGAUGUCUUCAGCAGAAAACACCACUGUGAAUUUUUUUUCAAUAUUCCUUUUAACUAUAAUGGAAACAAGUUAAAAAUAAUAGGUCUAAUGUUCAUAAAUCCAUUAAAUAUUUACUGGUCACUCUCUUGAUGACUAUUUUGAUUUAAUACAUGGUAUAUAUAAAUCAUCAAUAUUUUCAAGUUCAAAAAUGCACAGGGAGGAAUUUUAUGGCUUCUGUGAUGGCUUUGAACAAAAGUGUAAUUUACUUCCUUGUUUGUGUAAGUGUUUAUAUACUGAUCAUUUGUCAGUAAGCCUGAGAAUCUAAGCACAAUAUUAUAUAUGCAUGCUAAGUGCUUAGUUUAUCAUUAUGAUUUUCCUCUUGAAUUUAAAUUGUGUAAUGCAGAUAAUUUAACUUUUCUAGGGUUCUCGUUUAUUUUUAAAAUGUUAGUGUCCAGGUAACAACCAGAAAAAAAAAAAUUCUAAGCCAUGUGGUAUGCUAAUACUGAAAAUAAAAUGAGUGUUAUUUCCCUUGAGGGAAAUGUAAUUAAAGAUAAAGGGGAGAUAUGCCUAGAAUAAUGACAUUCACUAUACAUAACUAAUAAGAUAAUAUUGUUUUAAAAUUCUGUAAAUUUUUCUUAUUUUACUUAAUUUUAUGUCCCUGCUGGUAUUUUUGCUUUUUCAUAAAAAUUAUCAUUUAUUUUUCUCAACUGCAUAUUGCCAUCUUCAUUUUUUAAUUUUCUCACAUAUUCAUAGAAUUGUUCUCUGUAAUAGAUACUGUACAGUAAUUAUUUGUUGAUCGAUUAACCUUUUCAAUGCUACUUCCGACACCUACUUCUCAUCCUCCGUGUAACAGAUACUGUCAGUUACCUAUCCUUAACAGCCUUUCCACUCCCAACUUCUGUGAAUGGACAAGAGAUGCAAUUGUGAUCACUGAACAUGAGGCAACAUCUUCUAGGAAGACAUUUCCAUAGUCUUCAGACAAAAGGGAGAGAUAUCUUUUCAGACAAUCUUUGAACAAUCCUAUAUGAAGCUUACCUGAAGUUGCUGUAGCCGUUUGGCAAGUCUGGGGAGACUAACAGACACACUGAGGAUAGCAGAAAAUAAAGAUAGAAACAGCCCAGGUUUUUGGUGAAAUUCAUGAGCUUCUGAAUAACGAACCCCAUACCACCCUACCUCUAUAAAAGAAUUCUUAAUAUGUGACAUAAUAAAAUUUCUUUAUUAUUUAAGGCACUUUUAGUUGGGUCUUCUAUUUCUUGCAGCUGAAAUUCAUACACUCAUCAUUCUUUUAUUUAUAUUCUCCAUAUAUAUGAACUCUAUAUUCUUAUAGAGUCUGGCUAGUCCAAAGUCUUAGGAAAAAUAACAGACCAACAGUGUUUCUUUUGAGCUAGAAGCUGGUCAUGGAUGUGAGCACUAACCCAACCAUAUAAUGAUGAUGACAACAG